rnacentral:lncRNA from 1 species
UCCCUGGCUGGGAGCAGAGCUAGCCGAGUAGGGCGCCCGGCUGUCAAAACUGGCCGGCGCAGUGCACGCUGGGCCGCCCCGGAGCGGUCGCAGAGCCCGUCGGGAGUCGUAGUCCGGGACGGGCCCGCAGCAUUGUCCGCGACGCAGCUCGGGAUCCGCGUCGGGUUGUCGGCCGGGUUGCUGCCAGGCACCGUCGAGCGUUAGCCACCCAGCAUUGAGCUGCCAGCGGCUGUUCUCCCUAAGCACCCUCGCUCACGUCGCCUCGCCUCGCCUCGCCUGACCGGCCGCAGCCUUGGAUACCAGCCUUAAAUCGAGCCGACUACGGCCCAGCCCCGCCCGCGGCGAAGUGCGCGGGGUUCGGUGCCAGCCGCUCGCCCCUGGCCGGGCCAGCCUCUUGAUGCACCGGGGACGGGCGCGCCCAUCCGACUCUUCGAGGGGCGGCAGGGCCCCAUCUGUGUCUUUCGCUCUCGAGCCCCCAGCUAGAGUUGGCUUCAGCGGAAUACCUACUGUGCAGGAUUAUUCAACAAGCCGAUUGAUCACAUUCUUCAGCU